GGGCGCUUAGCUCAGUGGCUAGAGCACCUGGUUUACACCCAGGGGGUCGGGGGUUCGAAACCCUCAGCGCCCA
rnacentral:tRNA from 1 species